rnacentral:rRNA from 1 species
UACAGAGGAUGCAAGCGUUAUCCGGAAUGAUUGGGCGUAAAGCGUCUGUAGGUGGCUUUUUAAGUCCGCCGUCAAAUCCCAGGGCUCAACUCUGGACAGGCGGUGGAAACUACCAAGCUUGAGUACGGUAGGGCAGAGGGAAUUUCCGGUGGAGCGGUGAAAGUGCGUAGAGAUCGGAAAGAACACCAACGGCGAAAGCACUCUGCUGGCCGACACUGACACUGAGAGACGAAAGCUAGGGGAGCGAAUGGG